AUUCUGGAAGCCCAGCACCUAGGUGAUGUGACUUUCAUCUUUUGUUUGGACCCUGUGCACAAAAGGAAGAGUGGCUUAUCACUGGACCUCACACACAGGAGAGAUUGUGACAUAUCUCUGGAACCAGAACCUUGGUGAUGUGACUCUUCUCUCCUGCUGAAGCCAUGCCCACACAAGGGAAAGUGACUUAUCCCUGGACCCAGCACACAGGUGGGUGGUGACUCUAAGACCAGGAUUCAACACACCUAGAAGGCUUUGACUCUGAUACCAGUCACAGAAGGCUCUGCGACUCUUCUGUUUUCUCUAGGUCAUGCAAAUGGAGGUGGAUUGUGACAUAUCAUACGGCCAACACAACACACAGUCUACAGGUGGAAUUGGGACUCUCAUGCAUGGAUCCAGUUCAUCAUUGAUACUGUGACUCAUGUACUUGGAUGCAACUCACAGGAGGUCACGCAAAUGGAGGAGGAUUGUGACAUAUCAUAGGGCCAACACAAAAAUAAUGUAAAACUCCUGCCUGAGCCAUGCCCAUAGAAGGCAUUGUGACGUAUCACCAGUCACAUCACUCAGGUGGGAUUUUGACAUAUAACUGCACCCAGCACACAGAUGCAGUGGCUCAUGCCUGUAAUCCCAGCACUUUCAGAGGCUGAGGUGGGCAGAUCAGGAGGUUAGGAGUGCGAGACCAGCCUGGCCAACGUGGUGAAAUGCCAUCUCUACUAAAAUUUAAAAAAUUAGCUGGGCAUGGUGGCAGGCACCUGUAAUCUCAGCUACAUGGGAGGUUGAGGCAGGAGAAUUGCUUGAAACUGGAAGGCAGGGGUUGCA